rnacentral:rRNA from 1 species
GGAUGACCAGCCACACUGGAACUGAGACACGGUCCAGACUCCUACGGGAGGCAGCAGUGGGGAAUAUUGCACAAUGGGCGCAAGCCUGAUGCAGCCAUGCCGCGUGUAUGAAGAAGGCCUUCGGGUUGUAAAGUACUUUCAGCGGGGAGGAAGGUGUUGUGGUUAAUAACCGCAGCAAUUGACGUUACCCGCAGAAGAAGCACCGGCUAACUCCGUGCCAGCAGCCGCGGUAAUACGGAGGGUGCAAGCGUUAAUCGGAAUUACUGGGCGUAAAGCGCACGCAGGCGGUCUGUCAAGUCGGAUGUGAAAUCCCCGGGCUCAACCUGGGAACUGCAUUCGAAACUGGCAGGCUUGAGUCUUGUAGAGGGGGGUAGAAUUCCAGGUGUAGCGGUGAAAUGCGUAGAGAUCUGGAGGAAUACCGGUGGCGAAGGCGGCCCCCUGGACAAAGACUGACGCUCAGGUGCGAAAGCGUGGGGAGCAAACAAGAUUAGAUACCCUGGUAGUCCACGCCGUAAACGAUGUCUACUUGGAGGUUGUGCCCUUGAGGCGUGGCUUCCGGAGCUAACGCGUUAAGUAGACCGCCUGGGGAGUACGGCCGCAAGGUUAAAACUCAAAUGAAUUGACGGGGGCCCGCACAAGCGGUGGAGCAUGUGGUUUAAUUCGAUGCAACGCGAAGAACCUUACCUGGUCUUGACAUCCACAGAACUUUCCAGAGAUGGAUUGGUGCCUUCGGGAACUGUGAGACAGGUGCUGCAUGGCUGUCGUCAGCUCGUGUUGUGAAAUGUUGGGUUAAGUCCCGCAACGAGCGCAACCCUUAUCCUUUGUUGCCAGCGGUCCGGCCGGGAACUCAAAGGAGACUGCCAGUGAUAAACUGGAGGAAGGUGGGAAUGACGUCAAGUCAUCAUGGCCCUUACGACCAGGGCUACACACGUGCUACAAUGGCGCAUACAAAGAGAAGCGACCUCGCGAGAGCAAGCGGACCUCAUAAAGUGCGUCGUAGUCCGGAUUGGAGUCUGCAACUCGACUCCAUGAAGUCGGAAUCGCUAGUAAUCGUGGAUCAGAAUGCCACGGUGAAUACGUUCCCGGGCCUUGUACACACCGCCCGUCACACCAUGGGGAGUGGGU